rnacentral:rRNA from 1 species
AUUGAACGCUGGCGGCAGGCCUAACACAUGCAAGUCGAGCGGAUGAAGGGAGCUUGCUCCUGGAUUCAGCGGCGGACGGGUGAGUAAUGCCUAGGAAUCUGCCUGGUAGUGGGGGAUAACGUCCGGAAACGGGCGCUAAUACCGCAUACGUCCUGAGGGAGAAAGUGGGGGAUCUUCGGACCUCACGCUAUCAGAUGAGCCUAGGUCGGAUUAGCUAGUUGGUGGGGUAAAGGCCUACCAAGGCGACGAUCCGUAACUGGUCUGAGAGGAUGAUCAGUCACACUGGAACUGAGACACGGUCCAGACUCCUACGGGAGGCAGCAGUGGGGAAUAUUGGACAAUGGGCGAAAGCUUGAUCCAGCCAUGCCGCGUGUGUGAAGAAGGUCUUCGGAUUGUAAAGCACUUUAAGUUGGGAGGAAGGGCAGUAAGUUAAUACCUUGCUGUUUUGACGGUACCAACAGAAUAAGCACCGGCUAACUUCGUG